AUGGAAAGAAAAAUGCAAACAAAGUACCAAUAUGAGAGUUCUAAAGAUAGUUAUACCACUCAACCCAAGGUUUAAGACUCUGAAGUGCCAUCCA